UCAACCUGGGAACUGCAUUGGUGACUGGCAGGCUAGAGUAUGGCAGAGGGGGGUAGAAUUCCACGUGUAGCAGUGAAAUGCGUAGAGAUGUGGAGGAAUACCGAUGGCGAAGGCAGCCCCCUGGGCCAAUACUGACGCUCAUGCACGAAAGCGUGGGGAGCAAACAGGAUUAGAUACCCUGGUAGUCCACGCCCUAAACGAUGUCAACUAGUUGUUGGGGAUUCAUUUCCUUAGUAACGUAGCUAACGCGUGAAGUUGACCGCCUGGGGAGUACGGUCGCAAGAUUAAAACUCAAAGGAAUUGACGGGGACCCGCACAAGCGGUGGAUGAUGUGGAUUAAUUCGAUGCAACGCGAAAAACCUUACCUACCCUUGAG
rnacentral:rRNA from 1 species